rnacentral:misc_RNA from 1 species
AUUUAGCCCUGAUGGCAGUGAAAAGCCCAGAGAUAAAAAAAUUACUUUUUCUUGGCAAAAAAGAGCGACCAAAGGAAGCUCCUUUUAUGACUUAGAAAAAUAUUUUUUUUAUCGAGGACUUGUAAUGUACAGCUGGAAUUGCU